rnacentral:rRNA from 1 species
UACAGAGGUGGCAAGCGUUGUUCGGAAUUACUGGGCGUAAAGGGCGCGUAGGCGGUCUUGUAAGUCUCGUGUGAAAUCCCUCGGCUUAACUGAGGAACUGCACGGGAUACUGCAUGACUUGAGGUCGGGAGAGGGAAGCGGAAUUCCGGGUGUAGCGGUGAAAUGCGUAGAUAUCCGGAGGAACACCGGUGGCGAAGGCGGCUUCCUGGACCGACUCUGACGCUGAGGGGCGAAAGCUAGGGGAGCAAACGGG